rnacentral:misc_RNA from 1 species
AACCAACCAUAAAGCUGACAUGGAAGAAACUAGUCCUCUUUCUGAAUGUAGCCCUAAUGCUGGAUUUGUGAAAACUAGGUUUCUCCUUCGUUUCUCGAUGAAUGCAGAUACGAGGGAUGACAGAACAGUGAGGAAUAUGCCAAAUCCCAUUCUUUGAAGGAUUGUUAUGCCACCUUCUUUUCCAGUGAUUCUUCGGAGUAAUGGCACGACUAUACGGUCAUAUAUGGGUAUCCAGAGAGUGAGACUUAACAUGGAGAAAAUAGUGUAAGUUGCUGCUGGAAUUUGGAAGUUGCUGGUGCCAACAUGUCUGUUUGAUUGAAGGGCUUGGUAGACAACAAAUUGUUGCUGCUCAACUAUUGCAACAUGAUAUAUAAUUGCUGCAGCCCAAAUAGGAAUUACUCUAAUAACACAUUUAGCUUCUUGCACUUGCUGCAGACUGCAUAGGUUCCAUGGAU